rnacentral:rRNA from 1 species
GGCCUGGCUGGGUGGUCUUGCUGCAAGGUAAGCACUGCUCUGGUCGGGUCUUUCCUUCUGGGGAACCAGUGUGCUCUUAGUUGAGUGCGCUGGGGAUCCAGGACUUUUACUUUGAAAAAAUUAGAGUGUUUAAAGCAGGCAUAAGCUUGAAUACGUUAGCAUGGAAUAAUAGAAUAGGAC